UUCCUGGUCUUCCUCAGCAAGGAGACCCCUCUGAGCUCCGGGAUGCAGCAAACGUCUGGAUGGGGAGGACUUCAGCCCCCGGAGGAGAGUCAAGUGAGCGGGUUGUAAUAGUGAGAAACAUUCUCCCUUCUCAGCUGUUAUUUCUAGAGCUGCUCCCCUGGGUCACACACCUGUCGAUGAUGACGUUUCUAGCCUCUGUUGUGAAACUCUCCUGAACGGAGAGGAAUGGCUUGCUUUCUGGACAGUGGGGGUGCCCCUCCUGAGCAGCGGGUGGACCCAGAGCCGACACUGUGAGGACUCCCUGGGAACUGUGAAGGAUGGCUUCCUGACAGCGGCUUCUCCAGAGCUGCUCGGAAAACCAGUCUGUCAGUCAUUCAGAUGCCCUUCCUGCCUGGGAGGCAGGGCUGCUGGCAGCGGCUGCGCAGGCCGAGUCCCCCAGGCUUCGCUGUGCAGGGGCUGCCGGGAGGAGCACAGAGAGGAAAUGCUUGCAUGGAGAUGACUGAUACAGCCCAUCAGAGACUGCACAGCCUGAGGUGACUCUCUCUCUUUUUUUUUUUUUUUGAGGAAGAUUAGCCCUGAGCUAACAUCUGUCGCCAAUCCCCUCUUUUUGCUGAGGAAGACUGGCCCUGAGCUAACAUCUGUGCCCAUCUUCCUCUACUUUAUAUGUGGGACACUUGCCACAGCGUGGCUUGACAAGCGGUGCCAUGUCCGCACCCGGGAUCUGAACUGGUGAACCGUGGGCUGCCGAAGCGGAAUGUGAGAACUCAACUGCUGUACCACCGGGCUGGCCCCCAAGGUGGCUCUCUUUUGGCGCCUUCCUCAGACCCACAAGGUUUAGAAGGAGCUGGGUGCUAUGAGGGCGGGAGACUGGCUCGGAAGCUCCCCUCUGGGUGGGCAGAGAGGUGCGACGUCACUGAGGGGCGAGCGCCGGAAAACAAGCUCCUCCUGUCGGCUGGAGUCACAAGAUUCUGAAACCCUCACCUCACAGAGAGGAUGGCCGUGUCAUGGUGACACAUCCAAACAAAGGAAAUCUUUCCCUACGAGUGAGGAGCCUCAGUGGGAAGCAGGCCCUGCGGCGGCUGCGGCCCUCCUCAGCGACAUGCCUACAGUCACACGGAGCCGGCUUCUCUUCAGAAUGCCCACCACGGAGCACAAGU
rnacentral:lncRNA from 1 species